GGAUGUUUUUACUGCGCGAUUUGGAGGCCGGGAGCCGCCCCAGCGCCGCCAUCAAUUCCUCUUCCUGCCUUUGCCGACGGCUUUGGGGGGGACGGGGGCGGGCGGCGCGGAUUGGUACAGCGUGGAGGAGAUCUUGUUGAUGUAAUAAAGGCCCACCAUGGAGAAGAUGAGGCACGUGGUGACGCACACGCGGUGGAUGAGACCGGAGGCAAAAAGAGCCAGCAGGAGGCAGGUGAGCACCUCAGGGAAGAUCUUGGCCUGGAAGCCUUUCCCAAAGAUGAGGUUCUCCAGGUUGUUGAAGGCGGUGAGGGAGCAGACGAAGAGCGCGGCCCCCAGCAGCCCCCCCUGGAUGGUCAGCCACUCGGUGGCCGCCAGCUGCCUGCUGUACAUCUGCAUCCCCGCGAACAGCAGCAGCGACAGCAGCGACGACAGCGCCAGGGAGGUGCCCGUGCCUACAGCCAUCGUGCCCCGCGGCGCCGCCCCCGACCCCUUCUCAGUGCCGGCCCCGAAGCGACCGCGCCGCAAUGC
rnacentral:lncRNA from 1 species